AUUUUCGUUCUAUUUACUGUUACAUUCGGUAAUAAAAGUAAAAAAUUUCAAAAUUUAUGCUGAAAAUAAAUAAAUUUGAUUUUUAUAUUUUUUUAUUCAUAAUUUUGUACGUAAACUUCGAUUGUUUGUUUUUUCUCCGUUUUAUGUUAAUAUAAUAUGACGCACCCAGAAUCAAAAGAACUUUAUGAAUUAUCGAAUAUGAAGAAAACAACUUUAUUGCACAUUUAUCCUUUCGGCACCAACAAUAUUUUGACACAAAAAAAAGGCGAAACAUGAAACGAAAUAUUCCAAAAAUGCAUUUAUUGUAAAUACAAAUAAAAUAGUUUUAAAUAUUA